GUGCUUGCUUAGGUAGCACAUAUACUAAAAUUGGAACGAUACAGAGAAUAUUAGCAUGCCCCCUGCGCAAGGAUGACACGCAAAUUCAUGAAGCAUUCCAUAUUUUU
rnacentral:snRNA from 2 species